UGGCCCCUCUAACAGGUACAUCAGUGGCUGCAGCAGCAGCUUGGCCUGCACAGUGACGUGCCUCUUUUUAUGCUACGAUGUACUUGAAGGGAUGUACAUCCAUGUGUACCUAGAGGAAACAUGCCAUUUAAACUAGUAUGCUGUGGCUCCUCAUAAGAUGCUGAUUUCUCAGACAUCAUGGCAGUUAUCUCAUUGGGUGGAAAUGUUUGAUUAAAGCAAGUCUUUCCAACUGGAUUUUUUUUAAGACAGUCCAUGUCUCUGAAAGGUCACAGAUACCUUAGAAUGCCUAAGAAUACAAGAACAACAGCAACAUGAAUCCAUCUGUUCUACCAAAAAGGAAAAAUUGUUUCAGAAGCUUCCUGAGGCCCUCACCAGAAGCUGAGCAGAUGAC